rnacentral:rRNA from 1 species
CACGUAGGGCGCAAGCGUUGUCCGGAAUUAUUGGGCGUAAAGAGCUCGUAGGCGGUCUGUUGCGUCCGCUGUGAAAACCCGGGGCUUAACCCCCGGGCCUGCAGUGGGUACGGGCAGACUAGAGUGCGGUAGGGGAGACUGGAAUUCCUGGUGUAGCGGUGAAAUGCGCAGAUAUCUGGAGGAACACCGGUGGCGAAGGCGGCAUCCUGGACCAAUUCUGACGCUGAGUGAGCGAAAGCCAGGGGAGCAAAGCGGG